rnacentral:lncRNA from 1 species
UCGGGAAGUCCACUCGAAGCUCCGAUCUGAUCAGUCUUCUCGAGAGUACUAGCUCGCUUGAAGACUUUCUUCUUGGCUGAUCUAGAUCCUUUCUUCAAAUCUCUAGAACCAUUUUAGAGGUUAAAGAUAGACUUCUAGAGGAGAUGAAGAGGUGAAAAAAAGAUAGAGAAGAAACUAUUUUUUUUUUAUUUUUCUUUCUUCCCAAAUCUUGAGGUAGAAAUCCUAGAAGACUAGG